rnacentral:lncRNA from 1 species
GCUAAGGGCACGUACAGCGGGUCUUUUUGCCCCGUCUCUGUGAUGUCUUUUAUGCAAAAAACCCCCCGGUUGAGUCAAGCGACGGGAGCUGCGUCCUCUCGCGAGGCGAUGGCGACGACCCGUGCUCCGAGGCGGAAGAGGCAAGCUCAGCACCGUUGUACGAGCUCGUCGUCCCGAGGCGACGGCGCGGCAGGAUCCCGCGCGGAGAGCGCGCGCGCGGGAAAUUUCCCCGCGAAAUCCAGGUUCGUCCAACUCCCCUCCCACUCCCCCAAUCCGGGAAAUUUGCUCCAGCAUAUAGCGCAGCAAUCUCUCCCAAUCUCCCACUCCCCCAAUCUCCAACUCCCCUCGCUUGAUUUGGGUGCUGCUGAGAUGUCCACGGCGGCUGCAGGUAGGAAGAAGAAGGGAGGCACACCUGAGGCCUCGGAUGCGGCGGCGGCAGCCCCAGCUCGUUUGGAAAAGGCAUUCUACAAUUUAAUUACUUGACUCUAAAUUUUUUUGCAUCAUGCAGCAUUUUAUCCUAAUGAUAUUGAGGUUAUAUUCAACUUUUGAGAGAAAUAAAAAUCUGAUGGUUGUUUAUAUUAUGAAUUGAUUGUGGAUUGGAUGAAGCUAUCUCUAGAUGUUACUCUGUUUAUACUACCUGAUUAUUAAUGUCAGUAAUCCCUUCCUUUGUUAUAUGGUUACAGUAGUUAGCUAGAACCCUGUAACUGAAAUGAACUAGCUGCCAUGAGAUAAUUCGCAAAAGCGAGCCAAACUCAAAUGCAGAGAUUUAGUUAGCUAGAACCCUGUAACUGAAAUGAACUAGCUUGUUCAGUGAUACACUAUACUACUGAUAUGGAGUAUAUAUAAUCUAGGGAAAAAGAUGAGCAUAUUAGCCUUUUAUUGCAUUCCUUUUCUUUUUGUACUCUCUCUAUACAUAUAUGUCUCUAUACAUAUAUAAUCUAGGGAAAAAGAUGAGUAUAUAUAAUCUUUCAGCAGGUUCAGUGUAUGUCUCUAUACAUAUACUUUGAUGAGAAUCUGCAAAUGAUCAGAAAGGGGAAAUUUAGGAAAUAAAUUCAGAGCUUGAUCAUUGGAGGUAUAUACUGGGAGCUAAAUAUUGAUUUGAUUGUGGUCAUGGCUGGGAGGUAUACAUCCUGGUAGAUAUAUACAUCCUGUGAGGUCAGUUGGAAUGCCGAGAGGUCUCAUUCAGUUUCAGUUUCUGAAUUAAUGUGAAUGUGAUUUGUAAAUGCGAAUGUGCACUUCAGUUUCUGUUGGAAUGUGAAUGUGCAUGCUUCAGGUUCAGUUGUUGCAAUGUGAAUGUGCAUGCUUCAGUUUCAGUUUCUGUUGGAGUGCCGAGAGGACUAAUUUGCUUAUGUGAAUGUGAAUGUACCCUUCAGUUUCUUUCUGGAAUGUGAAUGUGC